GACGAACGCUGGCGGCGUGCCUAAUACAUGCAAGUAGGACGCACAGUCUAUACCGUAGCUUGCUACACCAUAGGCUGUGAGUUGCGAACGGGUGAGUAACGCGUAGGUAACCUGCCUAUUAGAGGGGGAUAACUAUUGGAAACGAUAGCUAAUACCGCAUAAUAGUAUGUAACACAUGUUAGAUGCUUGAAAGAUGCAAUUGCAUCGCUAGUAGAUGGACCUGCGUUGUAUUAGCUAGUAGGUAGGGUAAAGGCCUACCUAGGCAACGAUACAUAGCCGACCUGAGAGGGUGAUCGGCCACACUGGGACUGAGACACGGCCCAGACUCCUACGGGAGGCAGCAGUAGGGAAUCUUCGGCAAUGGGGGGAACCCUGACCGAGCAACGCCGCGUGAGUGAAGAAGGUUUUCGGAUCGUAAAGCUCUGUUGUUAAGGAAGAAUGAGUGUGAGAAUGGAAAGUUCAUACUGUGACGGUACUUAACCAGAAAGGGACGGCUAACUACGUGCCAGCAGCCGCGGUAAUACGUAGGUCCCGAGCGUUGUCCGGAUUUAUUGGGCGUAAAGCGAGCGCAGGCGGUUAGAAAAGUCUGAAGUGAAAGGCAGUGGCUCAACCAUUGUAGGCUUUGGAAACUGUUUAACUUGAGUGCAGAAGGGGAGAGUGGAAUUCCAUGUGUAGCGGUGAAAUGCGUAGAUAUAUGGAGGAACACCGGUGGCGAAAGCGGCUCUCUGGUCUGUAACUGACGCUGAGGCUCGAAAGCGUGGGGAGCGAACAGG
rnacentral:rRNA from 1 species